rnacentral:rRNA from 1 species
GGUGAACCUGCGGAAGGAUCAUUGAAUAUGCAAACCACAACACGCACUCCCUAUUUGUGUACCGACGUUAGGUCAACACACGCAAGUGUGUGGCCUACUAACCUACACACCAUUGACCAACCAAUAAUCAAACCAAACUCUGAAGCUUUGGCUGCUGUUAAUCGGCAGUUUUAACAAAGAACAACUCUCAACAACGGAUAUCUUGGCUCUCGCAACGAUGAAGAACGCAGCGAAAUGCGAUACGUAGUGUGAAUUGCAGAAUUCCGUGAACCAUCGAAUCUUUGAACGCAUAUUGCGCUCGACCCCCCGGGGAAGAGCAUGUCUGCCUCAGCGUCGGUUUACACCCUCACCCCACUUACUUCACAGUAAGCGCUUGCUGCGUUGUAUGACCAGCAACUGGGAUGGAUCUGGCCCUCCCAAUUGAAGCAAUUCGAUUGGGUUGGCUGAAGCACAGAGGCUUAAACUGGGACCCAUACCGGGCUCAACUGGAUAGGUAGCAACACCUUCGGGUGCCUACACGAAGUUGUGUCUGAGGACCUGGUUAGGAGCCAAGCAGGAAACAUGGAAACAUGUACUCUGUAUUCGACCUGAGCUCAGGCAAGGCUACCCGCUGAACUUAAGCAUAUG